rnacentral:rRNA from 1 species
CCUACGGGUUGCAGCAGUGGGGAAUAUUGCACAAUGGGCGCAAGCCUGAUGCAGCCAUGCCGCGUGUAUGAAGAAGGCCUUCGGGUUGUAAAGUACUUUCAGCGGGGAGGAAGGUGUUGUGGUUAAUAACCACAGCAAUUGACGUUUCCCGCAGAAGAAGCACCGGCUAACUCCGUGCCAGCAGCCGCGGUAAUACGGAGGGUGCAAGCGUUAAUCGGAAUUACUGGGCGUAAAGCGCACGCAGGCGGUCUGUCAAGUCGGAUGUGAAAUCCCCGGGCUCAACCUGGGAACUGCAUUCGAAACUGGCAGGCUAGAGUCUUGUAGAGGGGGGUAGAAUUCCAGAUGUAGCGGUGAAAUGCGUAGAGAUCUGGAGGAAUACCGGUGGCGAAGGCGGCCCCCUGGACAAAGACUGACGCUCAGGUGCGAGAGCGUGGGGAGCAAACAGGAUUAGAUACCCCAGUAGUC